AUGCCUUCUUGCUCUCCUUUGCCAAAACGCAGACCUCACUGGUCCUUUUCAAGGUCAAAAUGGGUCAGAAACCAUAUUUUAUUUUAUUUUUUAUUUUUUUUUCCUGACGCAGGAGGAUUUCCACCCACAGGGCCAGCACCAAAGGGGAAACGAGGACACAUGCAUGUUCCUACAUGUACAAGAGGUUUUGUUACAACUCGCUGUGCCUGCUGCUGUUGGAGGCGACCUGUGGGGCUCGGCUGUGGGGCUCAGCUGGCAGAGCAGGCACUGGGGACGGAUCCAGCCCUGGAGACCGGGACGGGAGGCACCCAGCACCACCCAGUGCUCUCCACCAGGGAUGGGUGGCGGCGAUGGGGGACCCCAAGGCGAAACCCAACCCAGGAUGGGGAUUCCAGGAGCUUCCUGGGGCUCGGCUUUGCAUUUGGGGAUCUUCACCCUCCGGGGCUUUCCCCAAAAAGCUGGGCUGGGCCGGGCCGCAUCCUGCACAGCCCGCGGCCGGGCGGCAGCGCUGCCUGGGGGUUUGCUGCCCUCAGCAGGCUCCGGGGCGAACGGCAGCGAGCGCAGCCCAGGGACAACCCCAAGCCCACCCAAGCUGGCAUUUCCACCCCAGUGGCCAAAAAAAGAAAAAAAGAAAAAAAAAAAAGCAAAAACAACCCCCAAACAAACCAAAACCUAACAAACAAUCCCUCAAAACAAACAAACCAACAAACAACAAAACCCCAAAAACAAAACCAACCCCCUUUGGUGCUCAUCCCAUAUGCAUCCCAGAAGCAGGGCACUGCCCGGGGCUCUGUGGGGUCACCCCAGCACCCAGCACCCAGCAGGCACUGCCCAGGGGACCCUGCAGCUCCCGGAGCUCUUUCCAUGGCUGCUGAUGCCAUUACGCUGAUUUCAGGCGAGGCCUCCAGGAUUGUUUUUUAUUCCAGUAAUAAAAAGGACACCACAAUCGCCAUUCCGACACUAACAAUAGCAUUACUCAAAGCCUCUGGGCAGAAGUGGGGAGUUCUGGGUAGAAUAAAGACCUAA
rnacentral:lncRNA from 1 species